UUUCUCUGGCCCUCUGACCCCUCUUACUAUUACACACUUCCUUUGUCCCUGUUUUCAUUGUCAUGGUUUCUCCCAGCAGCACCUGGAGACUGCCUAAGGACUUCAUCCGGCUGCAGGAGCGUCCAGGAGUUGCUGGUCCUGGGAGCUGCCUUUGGCCACUGAAGAAUAAGAGUUGGUGGACAGACACUGCCUGGCAGGUGGAACUAUCCCUUGUAACAGUGCUCUCCAGGAAACAGUCAGUACAGAAGAAGAUUUAUUAGGAGGCUUUGGAUCAUAUGAUUGUGGAGGAUGAGAAGUCCUACACACUGUAACCUGCAAGCUGGAAGCCCAGGAAAGCUGGUGGUGAUGUUGCAAUCUGCUGUGGUUUGGAUGUGGUUGGUCUCAAAAGUUUAGAAGGGGGAGGCAGCGUCCCUGGUUACAGGCGCUGGAGCGUCUCCUUGGAGCUCCGUGGUGUAUCUAGGAGUCUGAAAGUGCACCCCAGGAAGAACAUGGACGCUGGAGACUGACUCUCAGGACUCUUGCUCUUGGAAGCCAGGCGCCAUAUUGUGAAGAAACCCAGACCCUGUGGAGAGCAUUCAGCUGAGUUCUCAGCUGAUAUCUAGCUCUAGCCACCCAACAUGUGGGUGGAUGAAGCUUUGGAAGAUUCCAGGCCCAACUCAUGCUGACGGAAGAAGAAAUGAGCUGUCUCCGCUGUACCCUGGCAACCCGUAGUCUCAUGUAUGUGGUGAAGGAGAAACCAGAUUCUGUCCUGUUCCAGCUGUUGCUGUUUGAGGUCUAUGGCUUUUGCAGCAGUACCUAACCUUCACAGACACAGACUCAUGACUGUGUCAGAUGGUGGGUAUCAUCCAUCUCCGUACUCUGUACUUUCUCACCUGAAGAAGCAGAACCUCUGGGCGUGAUCCUGUUCAUCACUAAUACACGGAUGGCCUCACAUUCACCCCUAUGUACCUGAUAUGAGACCAAGUCCCUGAGAUGGCCCUAUUAUAGGCUGCACUGUCCACCAUAGGCUCUGCUCACGGAAGCCCUAGACCACUCUAGCAUGCGGUUUUACAUUGUGAAAGAACAGAAUACUAUUUUGUGACACUGGUGAAAAUUAGAUGAAAUCCAAAUGUCAGUGUCCAUAAAUGAAGUUCUAUUGGCCACAGCUGCUCAUUUGUUUGCAUACUCUCUAUGGCUAUUGUGUUCCAGCAGCAGAGCCGAGGAGCUAUAAUGGACCCCAGGGUCUGUAAAGCCUGAAAUAUUUACUCUUUGAUGCUUGAUAGAAAACGUUUGUUGAUUCUUCAUCCAGAUGAAAUCAAAUUCCAAUAAUGUAAUUAUCCAUGCCUGAUGAUUUCCUUCUCCAGUAGCUGCUUUCAUCCAUGCUUCUCAGAAGCUGUCAGGAAUGAAGGGGCCUGACAGCCUCAGGAAUGGAGGAAGGUGCAGGCCAGGCAGGGGCAAUUGUCCUCUGCCCUGUGGGCCCGCAAGUAAGUUCCCUUCACUUGGCCAUGGGGUAUGCUCUGAUUGAAUGGGUUCUUGUCCAUCUACUUAGAGCCCUAUCUGUAUCUACCUCCAUCUCUCUGUAGAUUAUACCCACAUGUAUAUAAAUUAUAUAGGUGUGCAUAAUAUAGAAAACUUUAUGCUAGUGAUAAAUGCUAUAAAAAUAAAGUAUGUGAAAGAGGUAGUGAUGGGAGGCAUUUCUUCAAAAGGGGCAAGGGAAGGUCUCUCAGGUGCCAUGAGCAAAGACCUGUCUGAAGCAGUGAAGUACUGAUGCAUUCCAGGCAGUGCAAAGGCCCUGGGAUGGAACUGUCCUCUGUCCAAGAAAGACAAGAUGGCUUGGGGGCAGAGCCAGGGGGUGGGGGUGGGUGCUAGGUGGGAAGUGAGCCUGAGGAGUAAGGAGCGGCAGAUGGAGAACAAUCACAGGCCAAGGACAGGUGUCUGGAUGAUACCUUAAGUGCAGUUAAGUCUCCAGAGUGACCUGGGGCACGGUAUAAUCUGUUCUACAGAUUUCAAAGAUCUCUGUGGAGACUGAACCAUUGGACCUCCUGUGGGUCCUCAGGCAGGGCUUCCCUGAAGCAAAGAUCUCUGAACAUCAGGUGGUAAGCAGGCUGCCAAAGAGGCUGCAGCCUGGCUGGGGAAGGCAAGGGUCAGGUCAGGCGGAGUGGUGGACUCAGGAUGGUCCUUCAGACUUCCCCUCCUCUAGUCUCCUCUUUACCUCCUCUGUCCCUAUUUUCUCUGGGCACCAUGGCCCCUGCAGUUCACCCUCCUCAGGCCAGCUACCAUGCUGAUGCACCUGUCAAGUGCCUCUUCUGGGCCAAGUUCCUGGCUGAUAGGGAGUAGGUGGCUCAGAGCAGGUAUUUAUCAAAAAAACCAGGAGCUGGUGCUGGAAGGACAGCCGAAGUGGGCUACAUGGGGAUUCAUGAGAACCAUUCCACUGGCAUAGUUCAGUGUUCCAGAUUAUUCCCUUAAGGAUCUGGGUGACACACCUCUUGUCCUCACGGAUGGAGCCUGACACUCAGCACACAGAGCCAUAUCCUAUGGCAGUUCUACACCACCCAAGCCCAAACUCAACACUGUGAGCUCCUCCAAGCCACUUCACUUUGGAGCCCUGCCCUAAUCCCACAGUGCCUGGGACACUGGGGUAGGUGGAAAUGCUCCCUGAAGUAGUGCCCACCACUCCAUGGACUGGAUAGUUAUUACUAUCGAUGAGAAAAUUUAGUCAGAAAGGUGACCUACCUCAAGGUUAAAGGCUGGUCAACGGCGGAGGCAGACUGUGUUAAUUCUGCUAGGUAUAGGCUGUGCUCCUCAUACUUACUGGAUCAAUCAUUGACUGAAUUUACAAUCUAAAACAUCAGUGGGCUAUUCUCCAAUUCACCACUACUUAUACAAGAAAGCAGACAUCUGUAAGCUGUGACCACUUUACACCCACCAGGCUGGCUAAAAAAAGAAUAUAUGGCAAAAGCACUGUUGGUGGGAAUGUACAAUGGUGAAAAUGUGGCCAAAAAACAAAAAAAGUGACCAAAUAACUCAGCAGCCCAGGGAAACUGAAAACACAAAAUUUAUAGACAAAUGUUUGCAUCAAUAUGAUUCCUAAUAGCUAAGAAGUGAACAGUCCAAAUGACCAUCAACUGAUGGACAAAAUGUGAUAUAGUCAUACAGUGGAAUAUUAAGGGAAAAAAAGGAAUGAAAGCUGGGCAUUAUAGCACACACCUGUAAUCUCAGCACUUGGGAGGCUGAGGCAGGAGGAUUGCAGCCUGGGCAAUAUAGUGAGCUCAAGGUCAGCCUGAACUACAUAGCAAGACUGCCUCAAAAACAUAACUAAAUGAAAGAAUCCAGCUAUAAAAGGCUAUAUGUUGAAUUCCAUUUAUAGGCAAAGUCCCAAACUGACCAGCCUAUAGACAUAAAGAUCAAUGGCUGCAGGGGCAGGUGUAUGUGUAAGGUAGUGGGUGGGGAAACUUAGAAGUGUCUGCUAAUGGGCAUGUGUUUCUAAGGUGACAGAAAUGUUCUAUAAUUAGAUCAUGGUAAUGGCUGCACAACUGAUUUGUACAUUUCCAGAGUGAAUUAUCUCAAUAA
ensembl:lncRNA